UUAAAUUAAUGUACUACUUCUCAGGUUUUUUCUGGGCUAGGACCUUCAAAAAAAUCCGCUUAGGUUAUAUUUGUGGUAACCAGAUUUAUUUUUCAGAAUAUUUGAGCAGGUUUAUUUUGAAUGUGUACAACUGAAAGUUAUCCGGGAUUACUUAUAUUACCAGUUAAUAGGUAAUUCCAUAAUUUAUUUUGAAAAAUCUUAGUCCAUAUAUACUUAGUUUGAGAUAAUUAUUACUGAUAUCUGAAGUUGAUUUUUAUAAAUUAAGGUAAGAGCACCAGUGGUAGACUCGAAAAAAUAUUGAUUUCAGUUUUAGUGGUAUUGAGCAUGGACCGUAUGAAUUCAAAAUUAGAGAUUAUUUUCUUGAUGGGAGCAGAUCAAGAUUGAAAAAAUACAAAAAUGUGUAUGUAAACAGAUACAUUGCUGUAACCUCUCUCAUUAAUAUUACAAUACUUCCAUAAACAUAAUAAAUCAAAACGGUAAUUAACUAAUAAAGUUUGAAUCAAAGCUAACGAAAAAAUUAAUCUACCUACUAUUGAAAAUUUAAACUGAAAUUGUUUAAAUUAAUUAAAGGUAACUGCAACUCAGUUAUGAUAGACUUUUUAAAGCGUACAUACAGUAAAAAAUAUUAUUUAUUAUGUUUUGUUAUAUUUUAUGUUGUUUUAACAAUUUCUAUUUAUCAAAAAGGAAAGUAUAUAAAAAAUAAUUUUUAACUGAAACUUUUGUAUUAUAAUUUUUAAAAAUCUCUCUAGCUAUAACAUUAGAUUCUGAUUACAUAAAAAACAUCUGUGCAAAUAUUUUUCUUAAUUUAUCUAACUUUAAACAGAUUUAUGUUAAAUAACAGCUGGCAUGCUAAUGAAUUUCAAUGGAAGAGGAAGUGUUCACAUUUCAAAAUAAAUGAAAUUGACUCCUGUUCUCAAUACUGGAAAAUGCAAGAAAACUGUGUAGAGAGUAGAAUUUUAUUCUAAAAUAGCAAUAGGAUAUAUUAAUAAAAUUUAAAUAAAAUCUGAACGGAUUUAUAGGAAAAAUAAAAACCUAAUUGUGCUCACUGAUGCUUGAUAUGGCAAAUACUCGUCAAAAUUUUAAGCUCCCGAAUGUUGUAACAUUAAUUUGGAAAUACCCUGAAUAUACAAGCUAUGGGUAUCUGAAGAAAUUUUGUCAAAUUAUAUUCCAUGAAAUUUUCCCCUCAAAGACGAGUAACGUUCUGGUCGGUCUACCGAAGUUGAUGGUGAGCAAAUCAAGUCAUAAUUGAAGAGGAUCGUCAUAACUGUUCGAGAGGCUGCGAAGAGGAUACAUGAAUCGUGCACAACAAACACACAAACUACUUAGGCUAGUUAAGAAGCUUGAUAUUUACCUCACGAAUUGAAAGAAAUUAAUUUAAUACAAAGAAUCAACAUUUGCGAUAUGCAGCUUAAACGAAAUGAAAACGACCCUUUCUUGAAAAGAAUCAUCACUGCUGAUGAAAAAUAGGUCCUGUACGUAACAUAGUUCCAAUACGAUCGUGGAGCAAACACGAUGAACCAGCACAAACCACAUCGAAGCUGAAAAACAACAAAAAGGCUCAU